rnacentral:lncRNA from 1 species
UCUUUUCAACUCUCAACUUUAAAAUUUGUGCUUAGGAUUAGUCUCUUCAUCUCCUCCCCAUUUCUUUAAUUUCAAAAUCUCUCUGUCUUUUAAAAAUCUUCUUUAUUUGUGUUUUUUUCCAAACUUUGACCAUAUUGCAAAUUAGAAACUUUGGCCUUAUGCCAUUACUUUUUAAAACUCUUUUUCUUAAAUAAACUUGUAAAUGAACUUAACUAUACUUGACUUAAAAUUUCAAAAGCCAAAAAGAACUAACACUCA